GCCCGCCUCGACCUCCCAAAGUGCUGGGAUUACGGGCGUGAGCCACUGUGCCUGGCCCCACUGCUGGUUUUUGAUAGAAUCAAGUUGCUAAAGAGACGUGAGCCUGGCUGCAGAAGGCCUGGGCCCCAGGACUGCACCAGCAGGAAGAGACUUUGGGAAAAGCCAGCCCAGGAGGGCGGACACCCUAACGCUUAUCCCGAAGGAGAGGGACCAGCAGGCCCAUCCCGGGAAGUAAAGCCAGCACCCUGGGCCCGUGGACGAGGGGUCUUAGCUGAGAGCGCAACGCGUGUGGGCCAGGGUCUCCUCCGAGGACGGCCUCACUGGUGCCCUUUAUGGAUGGGGCCUUCUACUGAGCGGCCCUGCCAGGCGUCACCCUUGUACCCGGGGGCCAGGUGGGCAGGCGGCUCUUGUCCGGCAUGUAAUGGAGAAACUGCAGCCCUUGCAGAUCCUGGAGUGUGCAGGAACUAGUGGAAUGUGGCAGCCACUGCCAGCCCCUCCCUCCAGUCACUUCUUGGGGUCUGUUUGUGACAGCAGCUGGCAUUGUCCUAACUCAGGGAUUCCUGCACUUUCUCAGUUCAUGGCACUCUUAGUGUCCCAGUGAUUCUUUACAGCACCCCUUGGGCGAAAGAAAAACCCAACA
rnacentral:lncRNA from 10 species